AGACUUAGUCCUUGCAAACUAGGCUACCCAAGAGUAAUUACAUAAGUAUUUACACCAAUUAGGUCAAUGUAUCAGGGGAAAAUGUAUGUCUUUUUAAUUGUAGUGCUGAUAAUGGUGCAAUGCUCAAAUAUUGCUCGGUCUAUGGAGCAGAGACGAAGCUUAACUGAACCUUUUCUGGUUUAUUUCGAGAGAAAGAAAGCUCUCGAGGUACAUUAUUAUGGCGGAGGUGAAAGCCAGCGAAGAAGAUACAAGACAAUGCGACGUAGUCCUGGAGGACCUGACCCCA
rnacentral:lncRNA from 1 species